rnacentral:tRNA from 1 species
AAACAGAUAGCUUAAAUUUUAAAGCAUAACACUGAAGAUGUUAUUAUAGAUUCUUUCUUCUGUUUA